GUUCUGGAAGUUCAGGAUCUCCAUGGAAAGUUCUGGAACUUUUGGAUCCCCAUGGAAAAUUCUGGUAAUUUUGGAAUUCCAUGGAAAAUUCCGGAAGUUCUGCAAUGUUUGGGUCCCCUGUGGAAGGUUCUGGAAUCUCCAUGAAUGGAAGAUUCUGGAAGUUCAGGAUCUCCAUGGAAUGUUCUGGAAUUCCAUGGAAAAUUCUGGAAUUUUUGGAUCCCUGUGGAAAGUUCAGGAAUUCCAUGGAAAGUUCUGGAAUCCCACAGUAAGUUCUGCAGUUUUUGGAUCCUUGUGGAAAGUUCUGGAAGUUCAGGAUCUCCAUGGAAUGUUCUGGAAUUCCAUGGAAAAUUCCGGAAGUUCAGGAUUGCCAUGGAAAAUUCUGGAAUUCCAUGGAAAAUUCCAGAAGUUCUGCAAUGUUUGGGUCCCCUGUGGAAAGUUUGGAAUUCCAUGAAUGGAAGGUUCUGGAAGUUCAGGAUCUCCAUGGAAUGUUCUGGAAUCCCAGUGGAAGCACCUGGAAACAUCUGGAAAGUUCUGGAAUUCCAUGGAAGGUUCUGGAAUUCCAUAGAAAAUUCUGGAAUUUUUGGAUCCCUGUUGGAAAGUUUGGGAAGUUCUGGAGUUCCAUGGAAAGUUCUGGAAUCUCAAUAGGAAAAUCUGGAAUUCCAUAGAAAAUUCUGGAAUUUUUGGAUCCUUGUGGAAAGUUCUGGAAGGUUCUGGAUCCUCAGUGGAAGCACCUGGAAACGUCUGGAAAGUUCUGGAAUUCCAUGGAAAGUUCUGGAAUUCCAUGAAAGGUUCUGGAAGUUCAGGAUCUCCAUGGAAAAUUCUGGAAUCCCAUGGAAAAUUCCGGAAUUUUUGGAUCCCCAUGGAAAGUUCUGGAAUCCCAUAGAAAAUUCUGGAAUUCCAUAGAAAGUUCUGCAAUUUUUGGAUCCUUGUGGAAAGUUCUGGAAGUUCAGGAUCUCCAUGGAAAGUUCUGGAAUUCCAUAGAAAAUUCUGGAAUUUUUUUGAUCCCUGUGGAAAGUUCUGGAAGUUCUGAAAUUCCAUGGAAAGUUCUGGAUCCUCAGUGGAAGCCCCUGGAAACAUCUGGAAAGUUCUGGAAUUCCAUGAGAAGUUUUGGAUCUCUGGAAAGUUCUGGAAGGUUUUGGAAUCCCAUGAGGAAGUUCUGGAUCCUUCUGGAAUGUUCUGGAUCUCCUGAAAGGUCUCUCGGUCCCUUUUGGGAGGUUCUCGGUUCUUCUGGAAGCUUCUGGAAUUCCAUGGAAUGUUCUGGAGCCACAAGAGAGGGUUUUGGUCCCCUUUGGAAGGUUCUGGAAUUCCAUGGAAGCUUCUGGGUCCUUCAGGAAUGGCUUUGGAUCCUUCUGGAAGGUUCUGGAUCCCCAUGGAAGGUCUCGGUCCCACAUUUGGAAGCUUCUGGAAUUCCAUGGAAGCUUCU